GUCCAGUUCCUCGCCUUGGCGACCAUCACCGCCUCCUCUUCUGACCGUGUUCUGCGGAGUUCGUGACUGAAGCGCUACCCGGUGUCUCCCUCCUUCCCCCAGAAACCCUUCCACGAACACCACGGCCGCCCUUUCCUCUCUUCCUGACACACAGGCAGAAACUCCUCGUCUCUCCCCCCACACACCUACACAGCAACAAAACGGUCACAAACCGUAGAGAUAAUGACGACGGAGGUCGGCCCUGACGACAAUGUCGUGAACAGCUUCAUCAUUACCCCGCCGUCUCCAAAGUCGGAGUGGACGAUACACGACUUUGAGCUGCUGCACAAGCUGGGAGGAGGCAAUUACGGUGAUGUCUACCUGGCGAGUGUGCGCAAAAGCAAUUACGUUGUGGCCAUCAAGAAGCUCUCGAUCAAGAAGCUGGCAGAGUUUGACAUCGUGAACCAGCUGCGUCGCGAGAUCGAGAUCGCCUUUAACACGCGGCACAAAUACCUCCUGCGCACCUACGCCUACUUCUUCGAUGAGCACGACAUCUACCUUAUCCUGGAGCCGUGCAGCAACGGCAUGCUCUACAGCGAGCUGAAUCGCGUGAAGAUGUUCCCGCCGCCGACGGCAGCCCGCUACGUGGCGCAGCUGGCCGAGGCGCUUCUGUACCUCCACCAGCACCACAUUCUGCACCGCGACAUCAAGCCGGAGAACAUUCUGCUGGACCACAAUCAGAACAUCAAACUCGCCGAUUUCGGCUGGUCUGUGCAUGACCCGCUGAACCGGCGCAAGACCUCCUGCGGCACGCCCGAGUACUUUCCACCCGAGAUCGUUAGCCGGCAGAUUUAUGACAUGAGCGCGGAUCUCUGGUGCCUGGGCAUCUUUUGCUUUGAACUGCUUGUGGGCCACACACCGUUCGUGAGCAAGGACAACGACCAAAUCUACAAGAAGAUCCAUGCGAUGCAGUACACCAUCCCCGAUAGCGUCCCACCAGAGGCGAAGGAUUUGAUUUCGAAUCUGCUCAUCCGCGAGGGGUCGAAGCGGCUGGCACUACAUCGCGUGCUGAGCCACCCCUUCUUGCUCAAAUACUACUACGUUCCAAAUGGCAUUACGCCGCCGACGGGAAAGCGACCGCGCAGCUAGCGAGACAUGCCACAGGGAGGGCAGGCUCUUGCUUGUUGCAUGUAGGAUAAUUGCUGUCUCUCUCUCUCUCGUUCUCUUGGUACCCGCAGCAUUAUGCGAGUGAUAGUCGUGAUGCGCUUCAGCAGUGCACAAGCAAGAGACAAAAAAGAAGAGUACGGGUGCCGCUUUCGUGCUGGGGCCUUCUUUGUAGGCCCCCUUCCUCUCGAGCGUGGCAUCAUUCCUUUGCACUUGCCUGUCUGUCUGCCCGUCUGCCUCUCUCUCUUACCCCUCGUGUGUGUGUGUGUGUGCCUGCCCUAGAUGAUCUUCCUCUUUCGUUUUCUGUCUUGCACUUUCUUCCCCUUCGACUCCUUUCGCGCCAGAUCUCUCUCACCGUUAGCCUUCCCCACAUCCCCACUCUUCCUUUAUAUAUACGUGUGUGUGUGUGUUUGCUCCUAGAUGCUCUACAGCUUUUUGCUUUUCCCUUCGCCUCUCUUGGUUUUCGGGCUGCGGCGGCCUCACGCAUCUAAGUGGGUCGCCUCGGCUGAGGCCAUGACGUUAGGGGGGAUGUUUCCCACCUUUUUUUUCGUUUCAGGGAAGAAACGAAAAAAAACCGCUCGUUGUUGUUUUGCCUUCCUGCCAACGUGUGUGUGUGUGUGCCUGUUGCUGUUGUUGCUCCACAUCAGCUCCUCCUCGGUAUUUCUUCGUUUCGUGUGUGCAUGUGUUUCGCUUCUCUUAGACGCACAAGUGUGCUAUCGAAUCGCCACCCGCAAACCGUUUCGUGCGGCAAAACAAGCUGCUGGUAGUCGGUAAGGUCGAAGGGAUCGAGGCCUGAAUGCAUGCCUCGCUCAGUGCUUCCUCCCUCCCACUCGCUUUCUGCGUCUUUUAUUUUCGUCU
rnacentral:misc_RNA from 1 species